CUGCUGCCUUCCGUAGGAGUCUGGACCGUGUCUCAGUUCCAAUGUGGGGGACCUUCCUCUCAGAACCCCUACGCAUCGUCGGCUUGGUGGGCCGUUGCCCCACCAACUACCUAAUGCGCCGCAUGCCCAUCCAUGACCGGGGUCGCCCCCUUUGACCGGCAGGGGAUGUCCCCUCCCGGCAUUAUGUUGUAUUAGGCGGGAUUUCUCCCGGUUAUCCAUCUGUCACGGCCAGGUUGCAUACGUGUUACUCACCCGUGCGCCGGUCGCCGG
rnacentral:rRNA from 1 species